GAUGAACGCUGGCGGCGUGCCUAAUACAUGCAAGUCGAGCGAACAGACGAGGAGCUUGCUCCUCUGACGUUAGCGGCGGACGGGUGAGUAACACGUGGAUAACCUACCUAUAAGACUGGGAUAACUUCGGGAAACCGGAGCUAAUACCGGAUAAUAUAUUGAACCGCAUGGUUCAAUAGUGAAAGACGGUUUUGCUGUCACUUAUAGAUGGAUCCGCGCCGCAUUAGCUAGUUGGUAAGGUAACGGCUUACCAAGGCAACGAUGCGUAGCCGACCUGAGAGGGUGAUCGGCCACACUGGAACUGAGACACGGUCCAGACUCCUACGGGAGGCAGCAGUAGGGAAUCUUCCACAAUGGGCGAAAGCCUGACGGAGCAACGCCGCGUGAGUGAUGAAGGUCUUCGGAUCGUAAAACUCUGUUAUUAGGGAAGAACAAAUGUGUAAGUAACUAUGCAGGUCUUGACGGUACCUAAUCAGAAAGCCACGGCUAACUACGUG
rnacentral:rRNA from 1 species